AGCUUUGCCAUUUGUCGCUUGUAUCGAAAACGAGAAUGAAAAUGGCUUCUCUCUGCGCUGCUUCUGCUCGACCUUCCCAAUUGAUUCAACGGUUUCAUCGUCCAACUGCAAGAGCUGAAAUCCCCUCCAUCACCACCGUCCUCAAACUCACUCAACCCCCUUUCAAUUCCAGGUGCUUAUUCUCCACUUCAAUCAGGUUCCAGAAUGCUAUAACUUUGCAAGUAAAGAGGAGAUUAUUUGCUGCAUUUGCAUCAAAAUCUAAUCCUUCUAGUGGCGAUUCCAUUCAAGAUAAAUCAGAUGGGAACAAAAGUAAUGCUGCCCAAGGCCCUCCAUUCCUUACUAUUCUGGCAGGAUUCCUUGUUUUGUUCAUCAUAUUCUGGGUGUUUGGAUCUAUUAUAAUGUGGUUGUUUGGACUAAUUGUUAAGGCGCCUCCUUCAAGUUAGGCUGCUGUAUUUGUUUUGCUCAACGUUGAAAUGGUAGUUUAUGUGCUUAGAUGGACACAACUAUUUUCACCUUCUUAACUUCUUUGAUUGAAAUCUAAUGAAAGGAGAAGUAAAAUAAGAAAAUUAUAGCAGAAGAUGACAGCAAAAUUGGCAUUACAAUGAUAAAAAUGGGAUUUGGUAAAUUUUUGAGACUGACCCAUUCUUGGACUACAAUGUAAUUUAAGGUUCUGCUGAGUAGAGAGGAUGGAGCCGCCACUUCUGGACAAUGAUUAUCCCAUUGCUCAUUACAGCCUUCAUUCAAAUCAACUAAUCAUUUCGUCCUUCAUUCCAGCCAUCAGGGAAGCAGGAAGAGCUUUUAUGAUAGCUUAAUUUCACUCGUACCGUUGUUAAAUUUGCAUGCAUGCAAGCUCUCUCAAAUGAGUUGAUUACGACCAUGUCGAAUAUUUGAUUCAAUGAAUUUACUGAGUCAGUGUACAUACAAAAUUAUAAAUCAUUUGAGUCAAAGCUUUAAUCUUUUUUCAUAAAAAUUAGUUUUUUAUUAAUUGAAUUAUUAAAUCAAAAUUUAAGCUGUAGAAUCAAUCCUAAACCUUGAAUUGAAUUAUUA
rnacentral:misc_RNA from 1 species